CUUUUGUUUUAAGUUUUAUUAUGAUGGAUAAAGUUGCCUCAAUAUAUGAAUACUGCCUCAAUAUGAUUCUCUUUUGGCAUUUUUGUUGUAAAUACUGUAUUUUCAGCUGCUUUGAAGUGAAAUUAUUGCUAUGCAUGACAUUUUGAUGAGUUUUGACAAUAUGAUUUUUACAUAUUAGAAAAAAAAAAGUCUUAGGCUCUGUUUCUUAGGUGGUUAAGUUAGAUUAGUAGUGUUUUCUGAAGUGUUUGGUUAGUUGAGAUUUCUACAUAGAGAAUGGGUAAUACUAAAGGCUCUUUGAAAAAAUGAUGACCUCAGAUCAUCAAAUUUCUCUCCA
rnacentral:misc_RNA from 1 species